AACGAACGCUGGCGGCAGGCCUAACACAUGCAAGUCGAGCGGACCCUUCGGGGUUAGCGGCGGACGGGUGAGUAACGCGUGGGAACGUGCCCUUUGCUUCGGAAUAGCCCUGGGAAACUGGGAGUAAUACCGGAUACGCCCUUUCGGGGAAAGAUUUAUCGGCGAAGGAUCGGCCCGCGUUGGAUUAGGUAGUUGGUGGGGUAAUGGCCUACCAAGCCGACGAUCCAUAGCUGGUUUGAGAGGAUGAUCAGCCACACUGGGACUGAGACACGGCCCAGACUCCUACGGGAGGCAGCAGUGGGGAAUCUUAGACAAUGGGGGAAACCCUGAUCUAGCCAUGCCGCGUGAGCGAUGAAGGCCUUAGGGUUGUAAAGCUCUUUCACCGGGGAAGAUAAUGACGGUACCCGGAGAAGAAGCCCCGGCUAACUCCGUG
rnacentral:rRNA from 1 species